AACUUGGCCAGCAGGGACCAUGUGAUAACAGGUAGCAGAAUAAAAAGCAGCAAAACAAAGUAAGGUGAAACAAGAGCUGGAAACAGAAAAGAGGAGAAGGAAGAGAGUAACUGGGAGAGCUAAAGUCACGUGGCCAAAGUCCAGAGGGGUGGAAAAAUUCCAUCUGAUUCUACCAACGUUAUGAGGUGCUCUGUGCCAGGGGGUGAGGGUGCAGCCAAGUCCUGGCCCAGGACCAGAAGACUGGGUUCCCAGCCCUGGCUCUGUAUGUGCUCACUAGCUGUGGGUGCUGGGUGAGGUUUCUAACUUCCUAAUCUCUCUGACCUUGCUUUCCUUGUUUAUUACAUAGACCAGAAUAGGCGAUUUCUGAGGUCCUCUUAGCUCAGCAUUGUUUUGGCAGCCAAGCCUUUAACCACCGACUACAGAUGAUCUCUCUGAACAGGUUCCUUCCCAGGCCACACAAGCCAAUGUUGUGAGCAUUCCUAUAACACUGGCUUCCCACCUCCUUGAUCACUAUACUCAAAGUCAUUUUAUAGUCUCAGAUGGAUUCAGUAAAUUUACAUGAGCCUGAAAUAGGGCAGGGCUGUGAACAAGUAAAGAAUGCGAGUUAAAAUGGGUGUAUCUUAGCUACGGGCUGGCUCUGUCUCUUGAAAGCCAGCUGCCCGUUGCAGACAGGCACCAGCUCCUGAAUCCAAGAGCUGCCGGACUCUGAAAAUCCUCACACCUUUUGUCUCUCUCUGUGCAUCUCCUGAUCAGUAGCUCUUAAUUUCUGCCACAAUUCUGUGAUGUUCAGCUCCAGCUGUGUGUUCUGCUUAUGGAAACGCUCCAGUUCAGUUUCCAUCUACAGACAACAGGGGAAAAAGAGUCAAGAAUAAGAAAGUAAGCCAAGGAAGACAUGCAGAUCGCCAAUGGGCACAUGAAAAAUGUUCAACAUCACUAAUUAUUAGGGAAAGGGAAAUCAAAACCACAAUGAGAUAUCACCUCCUGCCUGUUAGAAUGGCUAUUAUCAAAAAGGCAAGAAAUAAUAAGGGUUAGAGAAGAUGUGGAGAAAAGGAAAUUCUUGUGCACUGUUGGUUGGAAUGUAAAUUGGUGCAGCCACUAUGGAGAACAGUACGGAGAGUCCUCAAAAAAUUAAGAAUAGCUGUAUAACAGAGGAUCCAGCUAUCCCACUUCUGGGUAUUUAUCCAAAGAAUGCAAAAACACUAAUUUGAAAAGAUACAUGCACCCCUAUGUUUAUCGCAGCAUUAUUUACAAUAGCCAAGGUAUGGAAGCAACCUAAGUGCCCAUCAGUGGAGGAAUGGAUAAAGAAACUUUGGCACACACACACACACACACA